CCUACGGGUGGCAGCAGUGAGGAAUAUUGGUCAAUGGACGAGAGCCUGAACCAGCAAAGUCGCGUGAAGGAUGACUGCCCUAUGGGUUUUAAACUUCUUUUAUAUGGGAAUAAAAUGUUCCACGUGUGGGAUUUUGUAUGUACCAUAUGAAUAAGGAACGGCUAACUCCGGGCCAGCAGCCGCGGUAAUACGGAGGGUCUGAGCGUUACGCGGUCUUAGUGGGUUUAACGGGAGCGGUGGUGGGUUGUUAAGUCAGUUGUGAAAGGUUGCGGGUCAACCGUAAAAGUGCAGUUGAAACUGGCAGUCUAGAGUGCAGUAGAGGUGGGUGGAAUUCGUGGUGUAGCGGUGAAAUGCUUAGAUAUCACGAAGAACUCCGAUGGCGAAGGCGGUUCACUGGACUGCAACUGACACUGAGGCUCGAAAGUGUGGGGAGCAAACAGGAUUAGAUACCCCUGUAGUC
rnacentral:rRNA from 1 species